rnacentral:snRNA from 1 species
GGAUGUGAGAGUGAUCUGGCUGUGACAUCUGUCACCCCUUUGAUCGCCAGGGUUGAUUCAGCUGAUCUGGCUGGCUAGGCGGGUGUCCCCUUCCUCCCUCACUGCUCCAUGUGUGAUCAUCCCAAAGCUGUGUGCUCGGUGGAAGAAGAUGACCUUCCCCGAUAGAGGAGAACCAUUCUUCAGUCAAGUGUAUAGGAGUAGCUGUGCUCCCCUCUAGAACCUCCAAACAAGCUCUCAAAAAGCUGCUUUUGUUACAGCAUGGGGAUAGGACCCAUGGGCAAAAAGGGCUGCACAUCUGCUGUGUGAAGCUGGUGGUUAUAUGCUUGGU